rnacentral:lncRNA from 1 species
UGAUUAGGUUUUUUAUGCCCCACCUACGAUAGUAGAGGGGCAUUAUGUUUUCUGGUCUGUGCGUCCGUUCGUCCGUCCGUUCGUUCGUCCGUUCGUCCGUCUGUCCCGCUUCAGGUUAAAGUUUUUGGUCGAGGUAGUUUUUAUUGAAGUUGAAGUCCAAAUCAACUUGAAACUUAGUAUACAUGUGCCCGUAUGAUAUGAUCUUUCUAAUUUAAAUGCCAAAUUAGAGUUUUGACCCCAAUUUUACGGUUCACUGAACAUAGAAAAUGAUAGUGAAAAUUUCAGGUUUUUUUUUUUUUGCUUCAGGUUAAAGUUUUUGGUCAAGGUAGUUUUUGAUGAAGUUGAAGUCCAAUCAACUUGAAACUUAGUAUACAUGUGCCCUAUGAUAUGAUCUUUCUAAUUUAAAUGCCAAAUUAGAGUUUUUGACCCCAAUUUUAGGUUCACUGAACAUAGAAAAAUGAAGUGCAAAUUUCAGGUUAAAGUUUUUGGCUUCAGGUUAAAGUUUUUGGUCAAGGUAGUUUUUGAUGAAGUUGAAGUCCAAUCAACUUGAAACUUAGUAUACAUGUGCCCUAUGAUAUGAUCUUUCUAAUUUAAAUGCCAAAUUAGAGUUUUGACCCCAAUUUUACAGUUCACUGAACAUAGAAAAUGAUAGUGCAAAUUUCAGGUUAAAGUUUUUGGUCAAGGUAGUUUUUGAUAAAGUAGAAGUCCAAUCAACUUGAAACUUAGUAUACAUGUUCCCUUUGAUAAGAUCAUUCUAAUUUUAAUGCCAAAUUAGAGAAUUUAUUCCAAUUUCACAGUCCUUUAAACAUAGAAAAUGAUAGUGUGAGUGGGGCAUCCGUGUACUGUGGACACAUUCUUGUUUCCUCUGUUUUCA